UCAGGGGAAGUAGUCUGCAGUUACUCUCUGGGAGGUGUGUUUGGGGCUGCAGAAGUAAGUAGCCUAUAACUACUCCUUGGAGGAGUGGGGAGAGCUAGAAGUCCUCAGAUGCCAGUGGCACCAAUUAGAUUCCUGCGGAGUAGGACCUGGAAGGUCCUUUGAAGAACCACACUGGAGAUCAAUGAACACAGCACUGUGUUCACAAAUGAAAACAAAUAUUGGUCUCCAGCCCAGCGAGCGCAUUAAUAGCAAAUAUUGUUACACAUAACAGUCCAGGAAG